GUGGGGAAUAUUGCGCAAUGGGCGAAAGCCUGACGCAGCGACGCCGCGUGAGGGAUGAAGGUCUUCGGAUCGUAAACCUCUGUCAGAAGGGAAGAAUAAGCACUGUGCUAAUCAGCAGUGCCCUGACGGUACCUUCAAAGGAAGCACCGGCUAACUCCGUGCCAGCAGCCGCGGUAAUACGGAGGGUGCAAGCGUUAAUCGGAAUUACUGGGCGUAAAGCGCGUGUAGGCUGUAUGGCAAGUUGGAGGUGAAAUCCCACGGCUCAACCGUGGAACUGCCUUCAAAACUACCAAACUGGAGUGCGAGAGAGGAUAGCGGAAUUCCAGGUGUAGGAGUGAAAUCCGUAGAUAUCUGGAAGAACAUCAGUGGCGAAGGCGGCUAUCUGGCUCGUAACUGACGCUGAGAUGCGAAAGCGUGGGUAGCAAACAGGAUUAGAAACCCCAGUAGUCC
rnacentral:rRNA from 1 species